rfam:Eubacterium brachy ATCC 33089 genomic scaffold Scaffold5, whole genome shotgun sequence.
CGUAGAGUAAAUAUUGUGCGUUAAGUGCAUUGGGAUGGGAUGUUGCCCAAUGACGAAAGAAAAUGAAUGUCAAGUAAUUUUAUGACACUUUCGGUUUCCUGCGAUACAAUAUUGCGUCCACUACU